rnacentral:rRNA from 1 species
UACAGAGGUUUCAAGCGUUGUUCGGAUUCAUUGGGCGUAAAGGGUGCGUAGGCGGCGCGGUAAGUCGGGUGUGAAAUCUCGGAGCUUAACUCCGAAACUGCAUUCGAUACUGCCGUGCUUGAGGACUGGAGAGGAGACUGGAAUUCAUGGUGUAGCAGUGAAAUGCGUAGAGAUCAUGAGGAAGACCAGUGGCGAAGGCGGGUCUCUGGACAGUUCCUGACACUGAGACGCGAAGGCCAGGGGAGCAAACGGG